rnacentral:rRNA from 1 species
AAGCUUGCUCUCGGGUGACGAGCGGCGGACGGGUGAGUAAUGUCUGGGAAACUGCCUGAUGGAGGGGGAUAACUACUGGAAACGGUAGCUAAUACCGCAUAACGUCGCAAGACCAAAGUGGGGGACCUUCGGGCCUCAUGCCAUCAGAUGUGCCCAGAUGGGAUUAGCUGGUAGGUGGGGUAACGGCUCACCUAGGCGACGAUCCCUAGCUGGUCUGAGAGGAUGACCAGCCACACUGGAACUGAGACACGGUCCAGACUCCUACGGGAGGCAGCAGUGGGGAAUAUUGCACAAUGGGCGCAAGCCUGAUGCAUCCAUGCCGCGUGUGUGAAGAAGGCCUUCGGGUUGUAAAGUACUUUCAGCGGGGAGGAAGGCGGUGAGGUUAACCCCUUCAUC